GGGGAAUAUUGGUCAAUGGGCGAGAGCCUGAACCAGCCAAGUCGCGUGAAGGAAGACUGCCUUAUGGGUUGUAAACUUCUUUUAUACAGGAAUAAAAAGGCUUACGUGUAGGCCAUUGCAAGUACCGUACGAAUAAGGAUCGGCUAACUCCGUGCCAGCAGCCGCGGUAAUACGGAGGAUCCGAGCGUUAUCCGGAUUUAUUGGGUUUAAAGGGUGCUCAGGCGGGGGAUUAAGUCGGCGGUGAAAUUUUGCAGCUCAACUGUAAAAGUGCCUUCGAAACUGGUUUCCUUGAGUGCGGAUGAGGUAGGCGGAAUUUGUGGUGUAGCGGUGAAAUGCAUAGAUAUCACGAGGAACUCCGAUUGCGCAGGCAGCUUACCAAGCCGUAACUGACGCUCAAGCACGAAGGCGUGGGGAUCAAACA
rnacentral:rRNA from 1 species